UAUCAGAAUUAUCGAACCAAUGUCUGCUGAUUUACAUCUUACAAAGUCUGCAGGAAUGUUUGAGUUCUCAAAAUCCUUAAUAUCGAUGCUUUACUUUUGAGAAGCAGAAAUUUUGUAAUGGCUCCUGUUGUAUUGAUUAACCAUUUGCUACUUGUAGUUGGGAGAAGCCAGGUCACAGCCACCUGUCUAGAUUUUGUUCUAUUUUAGACGCUGAAUUCUUGCAAUUCUAACAAAAGUGUAGUUUAUAAGAAACCAAUUUGACUAUACAAGAUUGUUGUAUUGAUUAACCAUUUGCUACUUGUAGUUGGGAGAAGUCAGGUCACAGCCCCGUGUCUCGCUUUUGUUCUAUUUUAGACGCUGAAUUCUCUCAACUCUAACAAAAGUGUAGUUUAUAAGAAACCAAUUUGACUAUACAAGAUUGAUGUGCUAUCAGUGUGCGCAGUUUUUUUUCCUGUUAGUAGAAAUGUGUUAGAUGUUAGUGUAAUAUACAAGAUAGUUGUGCUAUCUGCUAAGGACUUUGGUAUUAGCUCACUUGAGAUGUAUUGGGAAUUUUGACUCAUCCUAUAACCUGGGGCUGUUAGAAUUGUAAGGCUAUGUUUUACAGUGCAAAUGCUAAUGUUACAUCCAUCGCCGGAGUCUGCUGCAGGUGGCAAUUGGUUCUUUUUCUGCGGUUUUCCCUAGGCAUGAAGCUGCUCAUUUUCUGGUAGCAUGUUAACCUCGUUGAUGGCCAGCUACAGAAGCUGCUAUAUAGUGGCCAGCUCGAUCAAAAGGAAGUGGAUAGGUUGGCUGUGAUCUCCAUGGCCGGACUGGCUGCUGUGGGUUUGGAGUACGACAAGGUUGUUGGCCAAUCAGCCGACCUCUUCACCCUUCAGAGAUUUCUGAACAGAACUAAGACGCUGCUAGGCAAAGCACAUUAGCAGAACCUUACGAGAUGGGAUCUCUAGGCCUAAGAAAGUUGAAGUGCGAAGCCUCGAAGCCAAUUGUGUGAAGCCCUACUUAUUAUCCAAGAAUGCAUAAUUAUAUGUUGUAAUAAUAGACAUAUCAACUUUGUAACAGACAAUUCAUAGUGGUUGCCAUUGUAUUACACUUGUAGAGCUGAGUUUGUUAUUGUGAUUGCCAUUGUAUUA